rnacentral:rRNA from 1 species
UGGGGAAUAUUGGACAAUGGGCGAAAGCCUGAUCCAGCCAUGCCGCGUGUGUGAAGAAGGUCUUCGGAUUGUAAAGCACUUUAAGUUGGGAGGAAGGGCAGUAAGCGAAUACCUUGCUGUUUUGACGUUACCGACAGAAUAAGCACCGGCUAACUCUGUGCCAGCAGCCGCGGUAAUACAGAGGGUGCAAGCGUUAAUCGGAAUUACUGGGCGUAAAGCGCGCGUAGGUGGUUCGUUAAGUUGAAUGUGAAAGCCCCGGGCUCAACCUGGGAACUGCAUCCAAAACUGGCGAGCUAGAGUAGGGCAGAGGGUGGUGGAAUUUCCUGUGUAGCGGUGAAAUGCGUAGAUAUAGGAAGGAACACCAGUGGCGAAGGCGAACACCUGGGCUCAUACUGACACUGAGGUGCGAGAGCGUGGGGAGCAAACAGG